rnacentral:lncRNA from 10 species
UAUAUGAAAGACACUGCCAAAUGUCAGUAGAUGUGGUAUUCAGGGCCUCUGUCCUUAUGGAGCUCACAUUCAGAUAGGGGAAACAGACUUUCAUUAAACAAGCCACCAAACACAUAGCUAUAGAUUUUCGUAAGUGCUGUGAAGAAAGCAAACAGGAUGCUCUCUGUGAUAAUGAUGGGAAAUCUUCCCUAGAUGUGACUUAAUUAUACAUUAACUCUGCAGUCCAUUACUUCAAAUGAUCCCUAGUUAUUCAAUUUACAUACUGGAAUUUUACAACCCUGUUUAGUUAGUCCCAGGCUUCAGGCCAUUUAAAACAAAAGAUAUAGAUGAAUAGAAGAGUCACUCAGCUUGUCUUCAUCCUUCAGAUCUCGGUCAAAGGUCACUUUUAUUGGGAGGGUGUCCUGAUUGCCCUUUCCUGCCUCUCACCCUUACUGCAGCGCGCGCGCACACACACACACACACACACACACACACACACACACACACACACACACACACACAUUUAGGUCCUUACUAUAUAUUCUGGUAGUGUCCUGUAUUUUCUUUCCUGACACAUUUGUAAUUAUUUUAUGAGAUUUAAAAAAUUACUGUCUGUCAUCCCAAGAAACCAUAACCUCCAUGAGGGCAGAGAAGGUCUGUCUAUGACUGAAUCCCUAUCAUCUCAAACAGAGUUUGGUAAAGAGUAGACACCAGAAAAAAAUAAUUAUUGAAUGAAUGAUUGAACAAAGGAGGAUUUCCGUUCACUUCAGCAAGACUUUGAUGAUUCAACCCUCUUGGUCCUACAGAAGAGUGAUUCUAGUUUUUAGUCUGUGAAUGAUUCAGGCUCUGAGUUAAACAGGCAAUUCUUGAGAUCGUGGUCUGAAAUUCAUACAACCCUCCUACUUUAAAUUUCCUCAACUCAUGAUCCAGGUGAUUCCUGACAAAUUAAUAAAUGUGAGAAUGAUGCUGUUCUUUUUGUUUAAAGGGUCGAAUCAUAAAUGAAUAGGAAAUGUUGUCAUGUCAAUUCAACUUUUUAUCAGAGGAGUGGUACUGCAUAGUUAGGAGUUCUGACAGAUUCCCCAGGCAGACUGUCUGGGUUCAAAUCCUGGCUCUCUCACUUACCUGAUAUAUGACCACAGGCAAGUCACUUAACCCUUGGGCUCCUCAUUUUUCUAACCUGUAAAAUGAGGUUAAAAUUGUACCUCCCUCACUGGGUUACGUGAGGCUUAAAAGCAUUAGCACAUGCAAAAGUGCUUAUAAUUGUGAAUGGCAUACAGUAAGUGCUAGGUAAGUUCUCACUAUUAAUCUCAGUAAGCGUAAUGCUCACUAAAAUUAUUUUCAAAUUUAUACCAUAUGACUACAUUGAUUGUCUGAAUAAAGUAAAACUAUGUAUAAAGGCUGUACUUCUGAUAUAAGAAUCAUCUUCUAAUUUAUUAUAUUUCCACCCUCCCGUCUCCUUUAGUAAAUUAAUUAAUAUAUUAAGGGAGAGGACAACUUAUAUCACAGUGAUCAUUAUAUUAAGGACAUUAUAGCAUUUAUAAAAAUAAAGAAGUAUUAUGAUAAACUGUAUGAAUUUGAAAUUCACUUUGUGGUAUUUACCUUUAAAAGUAGCAUUUCUGAAUUUCAUACGCUAGUUUCCAUUCCCCUUUAUGGAGUUGGCUUUAACACGCAGCUUCUCAUGUGGCCUGAAAGGGGAUUCUUUCUACUUUCUAGAGGAAUGUGCUGUGAAGGAGGAGUCGGGAAUCUUACUGGCGGCCAUGUGAGAACAGCAGCUCUUUGAAUGCUGGGUACACAGUAGAUGCUCAAUCAGUGCUGACUGAAUGAAAGAACAAAGGGAUGAAAGAAGGAAUGAAGUUUGCAAAAGAUGAGGCUCUAGAUCCCUGCGACAGCAAGUUACCACAGAGGUAUACAGAUGGAGUGUAAUGAUGUCUACAUGACUUUGGAAGAAGCUUAGGAAACCUUUAAAAAACAUACAUAAUUUAUGAUACUGUUCUUUGACAUAUGUAAAGAAUCUAAUAGCUGGAAAUGCCUUCAUAUUAUUCAGAUUUUAAAGGUGUUUGCAUUCCAUGAGUUCCUACAGUCAAUAAAACAAAUACUCCUUAUGUUAAAGUGUUUUUGCAGCUUUUGUGCUAUUUGUGGGUUUACUCAUGAGUAAAGAAAAAUGGUAUAAUAUUCCUUUAUAUACUACUUGCGCUUGGUGAAUAAAGAGAUUGACUGCAUUACUCAGUGUGUGUACUAUUUCAAAAUUAGAAAGGUUUAUCAUCAUUUUAACUUUUUUCUCACCUGGUUUAGAUAUUCGUUUCUACUUGGUCAAAUAUUAGCAUUAGUUUGGCUUUAAGAGCUGAUUCACUGAAAUCACUUUUGGCUGAUUUUAGUACAAUUGCUGAGUUCUAAAGGCAAUGAGGAAUAUAAUGCUUUAAAAUUUUAUAUUUGAAACAAGUGUGAUUUC